GAUGAACGCUGGCGGCGUGCCUAAUACAUGCAAGUCGAGCGAAUGGAUUAAGAGCUUGCUCUUAUGAAGUUAGCGGCGGACGGGUGAGUAACACGUGGGUAACCUGCCCAUAAGACUGGGAUAACUCCGGGAAACCGGGGCUAAUACCGGAUAAUAUUUUGAACUGCAUGGUUCAAAAUUGAAAGGCAGCUUCGGCUGUCACUUAUGGAUGGACCCGCGUCGCAUUAGCUAGUUGGUGAGGUAACGGCUCACCAAGGCAACGAUGCGUAGCCGACCUGAGAGGGUGAUCGGCCACACUGGGACUGAGACACGGCCCAGACUCCUAUGGGAGGCAGCAGUAGGGAAUCUUCCGCAAUGGACGAAAGUCUGACGGAGCAACGCCGCGUGAGUGAUGAAGGCUUUCGGGUCGUAAAACUCUGUUGUUAGGGAAGAACAAGUGCUAGUUGAAUAAGCUGGCACCUUGACGGUACCUAACCAGAAAGCCACGGCUAACUUCGUGCCAGCCGCCGCCGUAA
rnacentral:rRNA from 1 species